UUGGAGGGCAAGUCUGGUGCCAGCAGCCGCGGUAAUUCCAGCUCCAAUAGCGUAUAUUAAAGUUGUUGCAGUUAAAAAGCUCGUAGUUGAAUUUCGGGGUUCUACCGUUGGUCGGGCUUUGUCUGUACUGGUGUGUAGAAUUUCUACCUUCUGGGGAACCAUCAUGCUAUUAAUUUAGCGUGGUGGGAAACCAGGACCUUUACCUUGAAAAAAUUAGUGUGUUCAAAGCAGGCUUAUGUCUGAAUACAUUAGCGUGGAAUAAUAGAAUAGGACGGUGGUCCUGUUUUGUUGGUUUCUGAAUCACCGUAAUGAUUAAUAGGGAUAGUUGGGGGCAUUAGUAUUCAAUUGUCAGAGGUGAAAUUCUUGGAUUUAUUGAAGACUAACUUCUGCGAAAGCAUUUGCCAAGGAUGUUUUCAUUAAUCAGGAACGAAAGUUAGGGGAUCGAAGACGAUCAGAUACCGUCGUAGUCUUAACCAUAAACUAUGCCGACUAGGGAUCGGACGAUGUUAAUUUUUCUUGACUCGUUCGGCGCCUUACGGGAAAC
rnacentral:rRNA from 1 species